rnacentral:tRNA from 1 species
UAGACGGUAGUAUAAUGGAAAAACAAAGAACUUUGAAUUCUAAAAUGUAAGUUCAACUCUUACCCCUCUAA